AUGUGCAUUCCAAAAAAACAAGGAGGGAUGGGGUUUGGAGAUAUUCACUGUUUUAAUUUGGCAUUGUUGGCUAAACAGACUUGGAGACUAAUUGAUAAUCUUGAUUCUCUGUGUGUGAUGAUUCUAAAGGUGAAAUACUUUCCCGAUGUAGAUCUUAUGGAUACUACCCUAAAGAAAAAAAGCUCGUAUACAUGGUAAAGCAUUACGGCUGGAGUGGAAGCCCUGAAACUUAUGGAGAGUGAGUGA
rnacentral:rRNA from 1 species